rnacentral:sRNA from 1 species
CUAGCCAUUUGCAGGUACUUUGAUAAUGACACAGUGCUGUCCCAUAUCCUUAAUGGCUUUGGCAUUCCAUUAUGGGACCUUCCUGAGAGAGUUAAUACUCUGGUUAGAUUUUAUAACUUUACACACACACAGGAAUUUGUGUUUUGAGCUAACUUUAUGGAAGGUAGGUUCUUCAUGCAAUUUUGUAGGGCCCAACUUUUUGGAAGGGUCAGCAGCAUUCUGAAUCCAAAGAUGUGCAUUAUGCUGGCUUUCUGGUCAUCAUGGGGAGCAUCGAUGACAAGGUUUUCUCUAGUGAUAAAUACGGAUUGAUUCCUGACCUAAUCAGAUACAUUGUAUAAGUGUAGGUACAAAGUGAAAUCACUUCAGCAAACACAGAAGAUGAUGAUGACGACGAUGAUGAGGAUGAUGAUGAUGAUGAAGAAAACACGGAGGAUCGGAACCCCGGGCUCUCCAAGGAGAGAGUGAGAGCUUCACUGUCUGACUUGUCAAGCCUUGAUGAUGUGGAAGGAAUGAGCGUGCGCCAGCUGAAGGAAAUUCUGGCUCGGAAUUUUGUCAACUAUUCUGGCUGUUGUGAAAAAUGGGAACUGGUAGAGAAAGUAAACCGGUUAUACAAAGAGAAUGAAGAAAACCAAAAGUCCUAUGGCGAGCGGCUGCAGCUGCAGGAUGAGGAAGACGACAGCCUGUGUCGCAUCUGCAUGGAUGCCGUCAUCGACUGUGUCCUACUGGAGUGUGGGCACAUGGUUACCUGCACCAAGUGCGGCAAGCGCAUGAGUGAGUGUCCCAUCUGCCGGCAGUAUGUGGUGCGAGCUGUGCACGUGUUCAAGUCCUGAAACAGGCUCCCCUCACCAGGACAGUCACCCCCAAACUUGACCCCAAACAUUUCAAUGCACAGAAGGGACUGGAAAGUUACUGUUCAAAGGCUGAAGCUAUUUUAAAACAUUAUUUUGACUACUAAGUGGGGACAGAAAGAUCCAUCCUGAGUUGUGGAAACAUUGGUCCAUGCCGUGAGCCUGUCUGCCUGUGGACACGUGAGCUUCCCGGGCUCAGCUGGGCUUUAUCACACAUCCCGUGAACACUCAUUGAAGUCAGCCUGUUUGCGCCAUGUGGGCAUCAGCCACUGCUGUCUUGGGAGGACACUUAUCCUGUUCUCUUAUUUCCCCUUCAUCCUAUUUUUAACUUAAACUGCUCAGAUGUUUGAAACUUCUGUCCUCUUUGGAUGAGAUCAGUGUCCACAAGUGGCCGACAUGGAACAUGCUGAGCAGUGGCUCCUCUGAAUGUUCACUUUAUUAGUCAUGUAUAUUUUAAAUGCUAACAUUUGAUGAAUGUAAGUUUCCACAUUGUUGCUGUUUCUGCAUUUAAACAUAAUUGGGAACAACUGACAUUCUCUAGUCGACUGCCAGGGCCUUAGACUCCACAUGUCCAUUUUUGUUCAGGUAUAGCUUUUUAUAGCAAGGGCUGCAUCUAGCUUCUUUUAUUAGAAGUGUGUGUGCUAAAUUCCUUAUUAAUGUGUAAUCAGUUUACACUGUUUUGUAUAGUGAAGGUGUAUUUUCAGUGCUACCCGCUAGCUGAUUUUAACUUUAGGAAUAAAAUUAGUUUUAAAAGCU